AGUAACGUCUUUCUGCUAGUUUGACGUUCAUUAGAUAAGCAAGUUUGUUUCGUGUACGAGUUCGGUUUAUUUCGCCUAUCAAUUUACUCGACGUCAUCGUUUAUUUUUCCAUCUGUAUGCCUUGCGUACGUUCUCAUCUUUUUAAAUUUUCCAUGAAUGUUUCUAUAGUCUUCCUGCAGCUGUUGGUAAUGCAAAUACCCUUCCUUAAUUUGAAGUCCACAAGAUGGUAUUUGUCUUCAAGCUCUAAUUUUAGCUGAGAGUAGAAAUGUGAACAACGAUAGGAUAUUUAGUAAGACGAAAUUGAUUUAGCUCGGUGGUGAUGCGGGGAUGUGGAUCUGUUUUGAUCCUAUAGGAAGCCGAGAAGGCUGGCGUGCUUCUAUUUUAUUCUUUGUAUUCUCUUAUUGGGCAUCUUUUGGUAUCGAUGCCAGCUUAACAAACGCAGCUGCGUCUAAUGUUCCUCACAAUACUGUUACAUCAGAAGUGACACUACCAAUUUCAACGCAUCACGACGACGACGAAUGUAGGAAUGUGACCACUGAUAAUGGAGCAGCUACUGGUUUGUCAGUGGUCGGUCAUGGAUCUGGUUCUCCUCAUUCGCCGAUAGUGCCUCCAACUUUUCUGUACGGAGUUCUUACCUGCCAACCCUAUCAAGGAAUUUCUGUGAAUCACAUCUACUUUCAACUAGCAAAUGCCUUCUUUCUAUUGUCACACCUUGCACCAAGUGGCAUACACGGUGUACUCUAUUUAAGGUGCACUCUACUCGUGGGCUGUGCCUUUCUUGCUUUGUGGGGCUGGACAAUAGCUUGCUGGCUGGACGCUGCUCUCUGGAAUGCUCUAUUUGUUGCCAUCAACUUCGUCCAUGUAUGCACGCUUCUUUACAAGCUCAGGCCUAUCAAGUUUUCAAGGGAAGUUGAAGAGGUAUAUAUUGCAGUGUUCCAGCCACUAAGGGUAUCGCGUCAUCAGUUCAAAAAAGUAUUAAAUUGUAUGAAGGUUAUACGACAGUUGAAGUAUCAAGAAGUUUAUGCCCAAGAGAAAGUGACCAAAGUUGAUUCGUUGUCUUUGGUACUUUCUGGAAAAUUAGUAGUAUCACAAAAUGGAAGAGCAUUGCACAUUGUCUUCCCACAUCAGUUCCUGGAUUCUCCAGAAUGGUUUGGUGUCUCCACGGACGAGUACUUUCAGGUAUCAAUAACAGCUAUGGAGGAAUCAAGAAUAUUAUUAUGGCAUAGAGACAAGUUAAAGUUAAGCAUAAUUAGUGAUCAAUUUCUGCAGGCAGUGUUUGAUCAUAUUUUGGGAAGAGAUGUAGUCAAAAAAUUGAUGCAGGUCAGUGAAACAAUGGCUGCUAGUAGUCAUCAACAACAAAAUGGACAAGUAAUUGGUUUGGGUGGUAUUGGAACUAUAGAGAAUGAUCCUGACACCAAACUUUUCGUUGUGAAAAAGACUGGCGACAGUCAAGGUAUUACUGCUCUCAUCAGUCGUCAACUUCAAGAAGAAAGAAUGCCGCUGCUGUACACGAGUCAGGAAGUGCUGAACAACACUUUGCAUCAUAUCAAUCACCUACGUACACUUCCCUUAGAUCCUGUGCAACACAACAAUGUUCAGACUUCCUUAUAAUAUCCCUGUGUCACAGGCUGUGCGAUUACCUUAGCACAAAAAUUUGUACGUGAUAUGUAUGUAUUAUGUUUCUACAAUGGAUAUCCAUAUGUUAUACAAAUAUCAUUGGGUAACUUCAUUUGUUAUUUUCUUCUGGUUAUUUUAUCCAGCAGCAGGGGAUCCAAAUGCAUGGAGAUUGGGAAGAAUUGAAGAGACUGAUCACGAAACACCUGUUUAAUGAAAAUGAUUGUUAGAUGAAUGUCAUCCUCGGCAGUCAAUAUAAAGUAACAUCGGUCUUUUUACAUAAUGUGAAAUAACGAUGAAAUGUAUUCAAGAUCACUGAAAACAUGGCAUGGCAAUGGUAUGCUAUGCACGGAACAAUUAAACAUUCUCUUGCCAAUUAAUAAUUUCUCCCCGCAACUAGUCAAGUAUUAUUAAUAAUGGAAAACACAUUUCAUCGUUUAUAGCAUAAUGGUUCCAUUCUAGUUUAUAAAAAUGACAUACGACUAAAACAUUAUUUUAUGCUUCCAAUGUACUAUCGAAUACCACCGGAACUAAUUUAAGCGUGGCUGUUUCUAAUUUACACUGAUUUUCUUCUUAAUGUGCAUAUGAUCAAUAACGAAGAAACAAGACUUUACACGUGUAAUAGAAUGGAAGUUGUUCAAUCGCAGCGGCGUAACUUCUUUACUGAAAGAUCUGUGAUUUACCGGAGGUGUACGGCAGAGAAAAAAAUUUAGGGAGGCCUAAAUACCUGAUUGUUUCCCACACCCAGAUAUAGUGCCUUUUUACUUGCAUUUCAUUUGUUCAUUUUUCAAGGAAAAAUAUAUACAAUAUUAUAUCGUAUACUAAUUUACAUGUUCAUUCAAAAUCUUUUAAGAAAGUUGUCGCCGGGAACUCAUAUAUCCUAGUAAGCCAAGCAAUGAUACUUUUUGUUUUUCUCAGAAUGGGACCAUCUUGAGCUGGUCUUUACUUGAAAAGAAUAUAGAUAGUCAUUGAUGGUAUUUCAAUCAAAAUAUGUAUACUUCCCCUAUAAUUUUCAUUGUCUUCUCUUCAUCAUCAAAACUCCUCUUUCAAUUAAGAGCCAUUAUAUUAUUUAUUAUAACAUCAUCUAUGCAUUUAAACAAAUCAAUUGUCGACAUUAAGCCCUUAAUACAUUUUCAAUGUUUACUAAUUUUUACUAUUGCAAUUUUUUGCGAAUCAAUAACUAACUUUUUUUUACAGGAUCUAGAUCAAUAUUGUUGUUCUUACUUUAUGUAAUACUUUAAUUAUUUUUGUUACUCUGCAUUUCAAAUUUUAGGUCUUAUCAUGGUCCUUGAAUUUUCUUAUUGUAAUAAUUCUACUUCCGUCUCUCUCACAGAUAUAUGUAUAGUUUCCGUCGGCAACUAGUUGUUCCCGCCAUCAAAACUAUUUUUAAAUAGUUUAAAUAGUUUUGAAUCAUUAUUGCGCGGAUCAUGACAUUUUAUAAAACUAUUAGACAAAUGGCGUUCAGAAUAGAGAACGAAACAGGAAGUUACGCCAAAAAGCGCUGGAUGAUAAUAAAAUUGCAAUGUAAGCUAUAUUGAUGGAAUAUUUAUAUUGAUAUACAUUGCCGAUGGAAAAAAUAAAAAAAUGCAUAUAACUUUUAAUGGUAAAAUUAUCGGGAAUCGUUACAAUAAUAUAAUCACGAUUAUCAUUCCUUUAUUUGGAAAACAAUAUUAGUAUUAUCUAUAAUUUACCAGUGGUAAUUAUGAUUAGAAUCGAUUAUUGUAAUAUUAAGCGAUACAAGCAAAAAAAAAAAUCAAUGCGCACAGAGAGAUAAAUAUUUAAUUACUUAUGUGCAAUAUUUACAAAACAGGUUUUCGUUUGCUUUAGAGGAAGUGAACAGAAUUUUUAAAAUUACUUUGAAUGAAAAUAGUGAAAGUAUUACGUGCUGAAAUUUAAAAUAAAAAUCUCAGGUUUCGAUGAUUGGAUACAGUUUUAGGGAAAGAAAAUAAAUGAACAAAGAAUCUCUUUGAAUACAAUUUUGUCUAGUCUUUAGUGAAAUGUAUUAAAAAAAUUUUAAAUGUUGCUAAUUAUCAAAUUCAUGCCCAGUUAAGGUUGUAAUACUUACUAUUAAGAAGACUUUUUAUAUGUAAAAUUAUAUUUCCGAGCAUAUUCGAUUUGAAAUAUUAUAUAUCAUUUAAAAGUCGGAUAAUAAUUAUUCUACCAUGUGUAUAAAGUACAUUCUAACAAAGAAUUCUGUUUAAUUAAAAAGCAUCUUGAUUUAUAUCUUUUAAUCAAAAUUGUUUUUCUUGUACAGUGCUAAAUCGAAAAAGAUGAGAACAAUGUGAUUUUAUUUUAGUGUAAUACUAUUCACGCAUGUAUGAGAAGUGUAAGUGAUUUGUUUAAUGAAUGUAAAUUAUUCGUUACUCAUCUUUAUUGUUUAUUGUUUCUCGUUGUUAUGAUUGUAUGUGGUAUCUUUUUAGUAUAGUUACGUAAUACGAUGAGAUAUGAAUGAAAUGGAGAAAGAUUUAAAUCACAUUGAAUACAAUAAUGAACAAAUUUAAUGACGAAAGGAAUAAAGAGAGUUAGUUUUAGAUAAAAUAUAUAUAAAUUAUUCCUUGUAUCUGUAUCCUUUUCCUUGUUAUUUAGCCAGUUUAGCGUAAUUGUUUUUUUUUUUUUUUUUUUA